CCCUUAGAUGUUCUGGGCCGCACGCGCGCUACACUGAUGAACGCAACGAGACCACCUGUACCGAAAGGCAUGGGUAAACUUGUGAAAGUUCAUCGUGAUGGGGAUAGAUUAUUGCAAUUAUUAAUCUUCAACGAGGAAUUCCUAGCAAGCGCGAGUCAUCAGCUCGCGUUGAUUACGUCCCUGCCCUUUGUACACACCGCCCGUCGCUCCUACCGAUUGAAUGGUCCGGUGAAAUCUUCGGAUUGCUGGAUAGGACUUCAUUGACCUAUCUGCGAGAAGUUGCUUGAACCUUAUCAUUUAGAGGAAGGAGAAGUCGUAACA
rnacentral:rRNA from 1 species